rnacentral:tRNA from 1 species
AAGCUCUGAGGUGUUUUACACGUUGGAUUGCAAACCCAAAGUAGUAGACUAACGUCUACCGGGGCUUU